AAGUCGGAAGCCGGAGAGUGUGAAGGCGGAAAGGAAGAAAUCCACUCUGUGAGUUCCUUUACAUGGCUCCGUCGAUAGCUAUGACUGCCAAAAUUAUUCACAUAACAAUCUGGGAAACAUAAACGUGAACUAGAUAGUAGACGAUUGGGGAUCUUGUUAACUUUCUACCAAAGAUAACUUUGCACAGACUUUCGGAGUUGCUCAUCUCAAGCACUGAGAACCGAGCCCAAGAGAGAGGCAGCUGAGGAAAGAAGGGAACCUUUACACGGUUUCUGCGGGUGGAGAGCAGCACAGGUGAUCGGCGCAGAGGGAACGGGAAGUAGAACGUCAGCACACCAUGGAACAUGGAGCAGCUCUUAGAAGUUCAGGCUCUGUGGAGGACACAGUACGGGCAAGGCUUAAAACUGGCGGUGGGGAGGUGACCACAACGGAGAGAAAACCGUGGUGAGGCCUGGUACCCACGACAGAGCCAGCCGUGAGGGUGCGUGACCCACGGCGCCCCUCCCAGGCUGCUGAGCAGCUCUCCUGCUGGGGCCCCCACCCGGGAAGGGGGCUCCUGCGCUCCCCCUGCUCACCUGACCAUGUCCUGCCCCUGUGGAUGCCGAGCUCCUGGAAUGUUUUCUGCCUCAUUAUCCUUUGCUUCUGCGCUAAAAAGCCAUGAGCUGUUUGUCCUCUGACAGGCCCCUCAUCGACACCACCUUGUCUUGGAGCCAGCUGACUCUGGACUGAAACCGCUACAAACAAACCAUGAGCCAAAAUCCAUGCCGGGAAGGCCCAGAGGUCAACGGUAGAAAACAGGAAGUCCAUGCCAGUGGGGUGAAGGAGCUAUGCUGGAUCUGAGAAGUCGUGUGACACUCACAACAAAGACCAGGGCUGUCCUGAAAAACACCACAGCCAUCCUCAGUGAUACGGAGGCCCAGAGCUCCUCUGAUGACAAGCACAGUCAAGUACCUGCCAGGAAGCAGCGUGACGAGUUCCUUACCAGAGCCAGGAAGCAAUGUUUGAUGUGAGGACCAGAGCUUCUCCAGGAGAACCAACGGCUCAAACAGCAACUUGUAGGAGAACCCACAAUGCCACAAUACCUCAACCCAAAUAGCUUCUCUUUCUCCAUUUUUAUGCUGGCAACUUUCCUCAGGUGAACAUCUAUGCUCAGCACCAUGCUGAUGUAAUCCAGCUGCCAUUAAGUUGACCACCAGUUCUUAAUCCAUAACAGGAACUGAGUAAAGUCAUUUUCUGAGCAUAUUGCCUAGAGCAGCGUGCGCAUCCUGGGUGUUGUACAAAGAGUGAACAGGACACAGCCUUGGGCCCGUUCCAUUCAUUUGUUCAUUCAUUCUUCAGUCAGUCACUUCCUUACUUGGUGACAGACGCUGGAUGUCCAGUGUGGACACAAUCAGUACACGCCCUGAUCUCACAGGGUUCCCACCCUGUGAACAGCUAUGAACACUGCAAGCGCUCUGGGAAGGGGAGUUGGUGAGUGCUGUGGAGAUAGAGCGAGCAAGCUCAUGAUUCCUUAGUGGAUAUUGGGCUAAGGUAUUAUUUUCUCACUUUACUGUUUGUUGUUAACCUAACAGUGAGAAGAUGGAGGGGUAAAUCAUAGCUUUUCACGUUUUGAAGGGUAUAUGAACCACACUAUGCUUCUAAUAAACUCCCUCUGGGAACAAGAGACCUGAAUCACCUGCCCCAAGGUCAUACUGGGAAAGGUCAUGCUGGUAAUGGUCAGUGCAGAUUUACCGCUAGUUUCAGCCCAACUCUGAGGCUGGUACUUUUGUCAUCUCUGAGAGAUACUAACCCACCGUCUUGUGAAGUUCUAAAAUUCUGGCUCUAAAUUCACUAUGGUGAUGCAUACCUGUAAUCCCAGCACUCAGGAGGCUGAGGCAGGAGGACUGCCACAAGUUAAAGGCGAACCUGUACUACACAAGCUUACACUGUAGAGCAAGACACUGUCUCAAAAAACUUUUUUUUUGUCUUUUUUUGAGACAGGGUCUCACGCUAUGCAGUUCAGGCUGGCCUUGAGCUCACUUGGUAGCCCGGGCUGUUUUGUUGUUUUUUGUUUAAAGAAGUUUGGUAUUUUCUGGUGCUUGAGCUACUCCAGUGAAGGAAUAUUAGAGAUGCCUGGGCGUUUUCUUGGGUUGAAAGAAAGUCACAGAGUACAGUAGAAGACAGUGUCUAUAAUUACAAAACCCUUAUAUGGCACUGCAAAGAGUUCCUGCUGUAGCCUGGAAAGAUGGAAAACACUCUCUGGAGCCCUACUCCAGGUGGGCCUGGUGUGCACAGCUACAAUCCCAGCGCUCUGGGAGGUUGAGACAGGAGGGUCCAAAUUCGAACCCAGACUGAAUAUUUUAAUCCUUUAGCAAGACCCUGUCUCAAAAUUAAAACCAAAACCAAAACAAAACUUAAAAAAGCCAAAGGGCUGGGGAUGUAGCUCAGUGCAAAGGCCCUGGGUUCAAUUGCUUGUACUAAAUAAAGACAACUUGCUAUGGAGGAGGCUAGGGUGAGCAAACAGAGAUGGGACUUCUUGUAAAAACAGUAACCUCAGAGGAAACCUGUCACCAUGAACUGGGCCCUUUUCGAUUUUUACAAUGACCUUGAUGGAGAUGUGUCACCCACACUCAGCAAUAAGAAAAAGGUAGCUAACAGUGACCUGAAGAAGCUCAGUCUGCUCUGGGCCUGGCUGGGUGCAGUGGCAGAGCCAGGACAAUGCUGGGCAGGAGCAGGAGAGAACCCAGGAUGGCACCCCUGGGGGCCACAGCCACAGAGCCAGGAGAGCCGAGGGCUGAGGGGAAGCACAGAGCUGAUGGGCAGUGAGCUGGCAGGAGAGCUGUGAGGUGACGGCUGCUGUCCCUCAGCUUCUGGAGAAGGAGGGAAGAGAGCGUGAGCAGGGGGCAGGAGUUCUGGGUGUAGCCAAGAAAUGAAACUGAAGAUUGGGCAUAGUGGUGCACACCUGUAAUCUCAGCACUCUGGAGGCUGAGGCGGGAGGACUGCCAUGAGGUGGAGGACAGCCUGGGUGCCUAUAAAUUCCAGGUCAACCUGUACUACGAGCUAGAUGCUGUCUCCAACAAAACAAACAAGCAAGCAAACAAAAACCAGGUUUUUAAAAAGCAUGUUGAAGGUGUAGCUUAGUGAUAGAGCCCUUGUACUAGAAAAAUGAAAAACAGGAAAGGAGCUAGAGAAGGAUCCCUAGGGAAGGCUCUGUUUCCUCGAUGUGGCUGUGGAAGGAACCAGUGGAGGGAAACACUGGCCAUGCAAAGGACAAAGUGACCUAUGGAGCAACAUCCUUAGGUCUUGCAGAGGUGCACGAAGGCUAGGUGAGGCACAGGCAUGCCCAGGAGUAGGCGGGCAGGAGGGCACACUGCUGGUGUACUAGUGGGUGGAACACGCAGCAUCCUCUUCCUGUUGCUUCUGCCUGCUGCCACAUGUGUGUGCACCGUGGUACCAUUUUCACCCAUGUUAGGCCCACUUUAAACUGAGCGUGGUGGCACGAACUUGUAACUCCAGCACUUGGGAGACUAAGGCAAGAGAGUGGCUGAGAGUUCAAGGCCAGCCUGGACUACACAGCAAGAUUUUAUCUCAAAAAAAAAAAAAAAAAAAAACCCAGAAAGAAGAUAAAAGUAAGACCUUUCUUAAAAUUUUUAAUAAAACAAACAAACACCACGGUGGGGGCUGGAGGGUGAUAGAGCACAUUUUUUCCCCAUUUUUAACAUCUGUGAAAUUGGGGAAGAAAUUUAAAACCAAUAAAGUGUUGCACUCUUGA